UACGUAGGUGGCGAGCGUUGUCCGGAUUUACUGGGCGUAAAGGGAGCGUAGGCGGACUUUUAAGUGAGAUGUGAAAUACCCAGGCUCAACUUGGGUGCUGCAUUUCAAACUGGAAGUCUAGAGUGCAGGAGAGGAGAAUGGAAUUCCUAGUGUAGCGGUGAAAUGCGUAGAGAUUAGGAAGAACACCAGUGGCGAAGGCGGGUAACUGGACUGCAACUGACGCUGAGGCGCGAAAGUGUAGGGAGCAAACAGGAUUAGAUACCCCCGUA
rnacentral:rRNA from 1 species